rnacentral:rRNA from 1 species
UUCCGGUUGAUCCCGCCGGAGGUCACUGCUAUUGGGAUUCGACUAAGCCAUGCGAGUCGAGAGGGUUCGGCCCUCGGCUGACGGCUCAGUAACACGUGGAUAAUCUACCCUAAGGUGGAGGAUAACCUCGGGAAACUGAGAACAAUACUCCAUAGGUCUAGGAUGUUGGAAUGCACUUAGGUUUAAAACUCCGGUGCCUUAGGAUGAGUCUGCGGACUAUCAGGUUGUAGUCAGGGUAAUGACCUGACUAGCCUACGACGGAUAUGGGUUGUGAGAGCAAUAACCCAGAGAUGAUAUCUGAGACACGAUAUCAGGCCCUACGGGGCGCAGCAGGCGCGAAAACUUCACAAUGUGCGAAAGCACGAUGAGGGAAUCCCAAGUGCUUGCACGUAAGUGUAAGCUGUUUCUUUGUUUAAAACGCAUAGAGAGUAAGAGCUGGGUAAGACGGGUGCCAGCCGCCGCGGUAAUACCUGCAGCUCGAGUGGUGGCCGCUAUUAUUGGGCCUAAAACGUCCGUAGCCGGUUUAAUAAAUGCCUGGGUAAAUCGUGUAGCUUAACUAUACGAAUUCCGGGUAGACUGUUAAACUUGAGAUCGGGAGAAGUCAGAGGUACUCCUGGGGUAGAGGUGAAAUUCUGUAAUCCUAGGGGGACCACCGGUGGCGAAGGCGUCUGACUAGAACGAGUCUGACGGUGAGGGACGAAGCCCUGGGGCGCAAACCGGAUUAGAUACCCGGGUAGUCCAGGGUGUAAACGCUGCUUGCUUGAUGUUAGUUGGGCUCCGAGCCCAAUUAGUGUCGGAGAGAAGUUGUUAAGCAAGCUGCCUGGGAAGUACGGCCGCAAGACUGAAACUUAAAGGAAUUGGCGGGGGAGCACAGCAACGGGUGGAGCGUGCGGUUUAAUUGGAUUCAACGCCGGA